UACGAAAGGUAAAGAAGAUCGUGGUAUGAAAAACAAUCAGCUGUGAACUGGCCGUGUUUCAUAACAAGAUCGGGAGAAGAAACAAUUAUCAAAUCUAGGAGAGUAGGUUCUGAGUUGGGUGAAUGGUGAGUAGCUUGAAGAGGUAAAAUGUGAAGAUUUUUUGAAGUGACAAUAGACUGCAAGGCAUUAGACCGAGAGUUGUUUUUGAGAAGGCAAGUGUUGAAGUCACCCAUGACGAUGGUAUUGUCAAACAAAGGAGAGAAAUCAUCAAGAAGUUUCUCGAAGGAGGAAAAGUAAUUCACCGUCAGUGAAGGGCUAUAGCAAACUCCGAGGAGAAUCCUGGCGUACCCUAGACGCACUUCUAUCAGAAGGUGUUCGGCUUUCCCAGAAUAUUCACUCGGAGAUUUGCUGACGAUCGAAAAGGGAAUAUGGCUACGUAGAUAUAUAGCCACUCCACCUCCGCCCUUGUUAGUUCGGUCAUUCCGAAUCAGCUGAAAACCUGGAAGAGGGUAAAAAGAUGAGUCAAGAGAUGGCUUCAGCCAGGAUUCAGAAACAAGGAUGACAUGAAUAUUAUUAUUAUCGAAAGAUGUAAGCAUAUCGGAGUAGUGUGCCGGAAUACUCUGGGCAUUUAUGUGAACGACAUUCAGAGAUUUCGGACAGUUCGAAAACACAUUGUUGAGAUUCGAAAAGAGAGAUACGUAGGACAAGUCACAACUGCUGGCUGUGGCAAUUGAGGAACAAGAGAGAAAAGAAUCAUCGUUAUCAUCACUAUUGGCAGAAUCAUAAAUACUCAUACUAAUAAAAUAUAUAAAAUAAAUACCUAAAUAUACAAUAUACUAUUGUGACGCCCGCGCACCAUAGAAACAAGAAGCCAGCGCGACGUCACGGAAAAUUCCACGGCCGCGAGCAAGUAAACAACAUCCGCCGCCGCCGCUGCCGCCACUCGAUGACGUCAUGGAAGAUUCCACUGCCACUGAAGUAAACAAGAUUCGCCGCCGCCGCGUGCCGCCACUCCCCACUACAGAAGCCGCAUAUAAAAGGGCGCACGCGCGGACAGAAAGGCAAUACUCGUGGGGUCGUCUUAGUGCUCACACCUAGCUCUGGUUGCGGUUCGGUCGACCGCGUCGCUUCCGGAGGUCUAGUGCGCUAAGACAUAGACCGGCUCAGUAAAAAUCUCCAUAAGAAGGGGGAGAAUGUGACGCCCGCGCACCAUAGAAACAAGAAGCCAGCGCGACGUCACGGAAAAUUCCACGGCCGCGAGCAAGUAAACAACAUCCGCCGCCGCCGCUGCCGCCACUCGAUGACGUCAUGGAAGAUUCCACUGCCACUGAAGUAAACAAGAUUCGCCGCCGCCGCGUGCCGCCACUCCCCACUACAGAAGCCGCAUAUAAAAGGGCGCACGCGCGGACAGAAAGGCAAUACUCGUGGGGUCGUCUUAGUGCUCACACCUAGCUCUGGUUGCGGUUCGGUCGACCGCGUCGCUUCCGGAGGUCUAGUGCGCUAAGACAUAGACCGGCUCAGUAAGUCUGCCUUCCUCAAGCUUGCGUUGUGGCCUUCCCCCGCACACGUUUGCAAGAGCCUGGUGGAACUACGGAGUUCUCGAAAGACCUGGCACUUCUACUAAGUCUGGUUGCGGUUCGAUCGAUCGCGUCGCUCCCAGAACCCAAAGGAACUGCCGGAUUCUGUACCACGUUUAUUCCACCCCUGCUUCCUCAACCUCUCUGUAAAAGGGCCUUCAGCCGCAAGCAUAAUUGUCAUAUCCAAAAGCAUUUAAAAGCAUAACGAGUCGCAUCAGAAUUGUCGAUAAAAUUAGAUUAUCGGUUCUUGGUCGUAUUCAUAGUCUGGGCCGUAUGUUGUAAUUAUAACGUGUCGUUGGUUAAGCAUUAUAUAUAAAUAAAAGUCAAAGAUUUUAUCCUCGUUGUAUUCGUAAAACCAAA